AGCUCCAAUAGCGUAUAUUAAAGUUGCUGCAGUUAAAAAGCUCGUAGUUGGAUUUCGGGAUGGGCCAGUCGGUCUGCCGCAAGGUAAGUUACUGGCUGGUCUGUCCUUCUUCGCAAAGACUGCGCGUGCCCUUAACUGAGUGUGCGUAGGAUUUGCGACGUUUACUUUGAAAAAAUUAGAGUGUUCAAAGCAGGCUAACCGCUUGAAUACAUGAGCAUGGAAUAAUGGAAUAGGACUUUGGUUCUAUUUUGUUGGUUUCUGGAACCGAAGUAAUGAUUAAGAGGGACAGUUGGGGGCAUUGGUAUGGCGGGGUUAGAGGUGAAAUUCUUGGAUCCUCGCCAGACCAACAAAAGCGAAAGCAUUUGCCAAGAAUGUCUUCA
rnacentral:rRNA from 1 species